rnacentral:rRNA from 1 species
UAGAUACCCUGGUAGUCCACACCGUAAACGAUGGAUACUAGGGGUUGGCCAGGAAAUGGUCAGUCCCGCAGUUAACGCAAUAAGUAUCCCACCUGGGGAGUACGACCGCAAGGUUAAAACUCAAAGGAAUUGACGGGGGCCCGCACAAGCAGUGGAGUAUGUGGUUUAAUUCGAAGAAACGCGAAGAACCUUACCAGGGCUUGACAUAUACAGGAAUAUAUAAGAGAUUAUAUAGCUCUACGGAGUCUGU